UACAGAGGGUGCGAGCGUUAAUCGGAUUAACUGGGCGUAAAGGGCGCGUAGGCGGUUAGACGGGUGUGAUGUGAAAGCCCCGGGUUUAACCUGGGAAGUGCAUCGCAAACUGGCUAACUGGAGUAGAUGAGAGGGUGGCGGAAUUUCCGGUGUAGCGGUGUAAUGCGUAGAGAUCGGAAGGAACGUCAAUGGCGAAGGCAGCCACCUGGCAUCAUACUGACGCUGAGGCGCAAAAGCGUGGGGAGCGAACAGG
rnacentral:rRNA from 1 species